AAGUCGUAACAAGGUAACCGUAGGUGAACCUGCGGUUGGAUCAUUAACAAAUAAUAGAAGCGCUUGUCCAAAAGACAGCGACUCUUGACAUUUUGUGAACUGUUUUUGUCUCUGGUGGGCUUAUGGCCCACCGCACAAUUUUGAACCUUGUAGUAUCAUUUGUCUUUAAUUAAAAUUGUUUAACAAAAAAACAACUUUUGGCAACGGAUCUCUAGGCUCUC
rnacentral:misc_RNA from 1 species